UACAGAGGGUGCAAGCGUUAAUCGGAAUUACUGGGCGUAAAGCGCGCGUAGGUGGCUUGUUAAGUUGGAUGUGAAAGCCCCGGGCUCAACCUGGGAACUGCAUCCAAAACUGGCAAGCUAGAGUACGGUAGAGGGUGGUGGAAUUUCCUGUGUAGCGGUGAAAUGCGUAGAUAUAGGAAGGAACACCAGUGGCGAAGGCGACCACCUGGACUGAUACUGACACUGAGGUGCGAAAGCGUGGGGAGCAAACAGG
rnacentral:rRNA from 1 species